CUCGAAUCUUCCUUCCAGCCUCCCGGAGCUCGUGUGGGUGCCUGCGGGGCCCUGCGGAGGCUUCAGCAGUUUCAAAAGGGAGGAGACUAACCUGACUCAAAGAAUUGGGAAGGAAGCAGAGGAUAUUUGAGGUUAGAAAGGAUGCCACCCAAACAGUGUCUUAAAGAUGGACGAGGAAUCAGAAGUCUGUCUUCCAGAAUCCUUCUCUUCUGCCUCCAGGUCUGCACUGGCCAAGCGUCUGACCCUCCCAGUGUCACAGGGAGAAGAGCAGGUACCAAGGAGAACCUGUCAAAAAUCCUACCAUAGCGUAAACAGAAGGAAUGGCACCUCCGUCCUCUUGGCCCAAGUCUUAAAGCUUCCUUAGAGCUGGCAAGAGCUUUCUUUUAUUUUGUUUUUCAAAUGACUGAAAAUUGAUUUUAAUACCUUACCACAAACAUACAGCAUACUGACAGCUUUACAAUUCAUUGUUAGGGUUUGUUUCUUGUUUUUUUAAUUUUAAUAGCAUCAUUUUUGUUGUAUUUUUGUGCAAUUUAUAUAAUUCUUCAAUUUGCUUUCCUCUCUUUUUGUAAGUAUAAUAUAUAUAUAUAUAUAUAGAGAGAGAGAGAGAUGUAAAUAUCAAAAGUGUACAUUUUGAUGUGUUUUCCCAAUUGGAACACACCCAGAUACUUGCAUUCAGACCCACUUCCAUCACUCCACAAGCCCCCCUGCACAGAGCUUUUUGUUGUUCUUUCUUCUGUCUUUUCAUAAACUUGCCUGAUGUGAAAAUGGAUUAUUUGAUUUAAAGAUGGCACAUUCCCCAGCUUCCUAGCACAUAGAAUGUGUCCAGUAGAAGAACUCUUUCUUUCCUUCCUACUCUUAUGAGGCCAACUUAAAAAUCAAGUUCAUCAAAAACUUGGGCCUCUCAGGAGAAAGCUUGAGGGUAGAUUCAUAGAUUCACACAUAUUUAAAGCUGGAAGAGACUUUGGAAAGAGGAAGUGAUGGUCAAGGUGUUGGACCUCCCGAGUGGCAGAUCUGGAACUGGAGCCCAGGCCUCCCAACAAACCACCAUUCUCCCCUGCAUUGUUAAUGUCAUGUAAAUCGCCACAGCCAAGAGUGGAGAUCCAGCAGGAAGAGCAACUUCUGGAGGAUAUCCUGGGAUUGGCUGAGUGAUAACACUCUGGCGGACCUUGAACAAGGGUACUCGUGGUUCUCUCUUCUGUUCUACGCGAGAGAACUCUUCUGCCCUCUGAUUGCUUCCUGAAAUAGUCUCUAACAUGGUCCUUAAUCCUAUGGUUCCCAAAUGGUGUGCCAUGUCACCCCAGGGUGCUGCAGAAAAUUCACCGGGGCACCUUGGGAUAUUUUAAAUUGUUAAAGGAAACACAGUGCUGUGUAACAUUGGUUACACAUUGCAUGCAUUACUAGUUAAAGGAAAUCCACAAUUUCAACAUAAAAUUGCAUUACAUUCCUUUCAGUGCCAUCCUGUCUUUAGGGAGUUGGGUUUCUCGUGGAUGCUGUGUUAAAGAGACGAUUGGUGGGGAAAAAGAAAUGAGGGUGGCUGUGGACAAUCUGAUUCCAAGGUUUGAGAAGUUUGCAGUGCACUUCACUAGAAAGUCAUUGUAGUUAUUUAAGAAUAAUAUAAAAAUGUCAGUUUCUUUCAA